rnacentral:tRNA from 1 species
GCCCUGAUGGUCUAGCGGUAUGAUUCUCCCUUAGGGUUGCGAAUAGCAUCACUACAAUGGGAGAGGUCCCAGGUUCGAUCCCUGGUUAGGGCC